UACGUAGGGUGCGAGCGUUAAUCGGAAUUACUGGGCGUAAAGCGUGCGCAGGCGGUUCUCCAAGUCCGUUGUGAAAGCCCCGGGCUCAACCUGGGAAUGGCAGUGGAAACUAGGGGACUGGAAUCUGGCAGAGGGGGGUGGAAUGCCGCGUGUAGCAGUGAAAUGCGUAGAGAUGUGGAGGAAUACCGAUGGCGAAGGCAGCCCCCUGGGAUAACACUGACGCUCAUGCACGAAAGCGUGGGGAGCAAACAGG
rnacentral:rRNA from 1 species